rfam:Spironucleus salmonicida unplaced genomic scaffold scf7180000020650, whole genome shotgun sequence.
GCCUGUUUAGCUCAGAUGGUAGAGCGUCAGACUGAAGUUCUGUCGGUCCUUGGUUCGAUUCCUAGAACAGGUA